UUUUCUCUCUUCUGGUCCCCUCCACGCUCUACUACUCUCCUCCUCGUCUCCUUCCAUAGUCAUCACCUCACCUCACCUCUUCACCGGAUUCAAACUUAAUUACCUCUCUCAAACAACAACAACAAUAAUCCAAAUGAUUACCGAUCCAUCCCCGGUUGAUCUGACCCGUUUACCCGAUCAACCAUCAUCCCUAACACUCUUCGACGGUUACAACUACAACCACCACCACCCCCUCUCCAACAACAACCAAAACGCCUUCGCGACGAUGACGUCAUCGGAGGAAGAUCCCGCCGACGAGUUCGACUUCUCCGACGCCGUUCUAGGUUACAUCAGCCAGAUUCUGAUGGAGGAGGACAUGGACGACAGGGUCUGUAUGCUGCAGGAGUCUCUCGAUCUCGAAGCUGCCGAGCGAUCUCUCUACGAGGCGAUCGGCAAGAAGUAUCCUCCCUCUCCCGAGCGCAGCUCCCCUCCUUACGUCGAGAAUCUCGACCACGUCGUCCCCGCCGGCGAUCGCACCGGCUUCGGCGGCGGAAUCAGGCCUGCGAGCGGCGGCGGAGGUGGAUUCACGUUGGAUUUUCGGAAUCCUCAGAGUCGUUGCUCUCCGGUUCUGAGCGUUCCUCAGUCUCCGUACGGUGUACAUGAUGAUAACAGGGAUGAUCAGUCCGUGUGGCUGUUUAGGCGUGGGGUUGAAGAAGAAGACGGCGAGAGAAAUGAGAUGGUUGUGAACUUCAAAGUAAGGAGAAACCCUAACCGCUGCGCCGGCGGAGACGAAGAAGAGAGGUGUAGCAAGCUGCCUGCAGUGUUCUCCGAGACGAUAUUGAAGUCGGACGUUGUGGAUAAGAUCUUGGUUCACGUCCCAGGUGAAGAGAGCAUGAAGGAGUUCGACGCGUUGCGUGAAGUCUUGAAGAAAGGAGUGGGGAAGAAGAAAGCCUCAGCGCCUCAAGAAGGGAAGAGACGAGCCAGAGGAAGAGGACGAGGGCGCGGAGGAGGAGGAGGAGGGGUGAAGAAAGAAGUUGUGGAUUUGAGGAGUCUUUUGAUACAUUGUGCUCAAGCUGUUGCGGCUGAUGACAGCAGGUGCGCAGGGCAGCUGUUGAAGCAGAUACGGCAGCAUUCGACGCCGUUUGGUGAUGGGAACCAGAGGCUGGCUCAUUGUUUUGCUAACGGUCUUGAGGCGAGGUUGGCCGGUACAGGGAGCCAGAUUUACAAAGGGAUUGUGAGUAAACCGAGGUCUGCUGCGGCUGUGCUCAAGGCUCACCAGCUUUUCCUUGCGUGUUGUCCUUUUAGGAAGCUUUCUUAUUUCAUUACCAACAAGACGAUACGAGAUCUUGUCGGAAACUCUCCUAGAGUUCAUGUUAUUGACUUUGGUAUCCUCUAUGGUUUCCAGUGGCCGACUCUUAUUCACCGGUUUUCGAUUUAUGGGAAACCAAAGGUUCGGGUUACCGGGAUUGAGUUUCCUCAGCCGGGGUUUCGACCGGCGCAGCGGGUUGAAGAGACUGGUCAGAGGUUAGCAGCGUAUGCUAAACAGUUCGGUGUGCCGUUUGAGUAUAAAGCGAUUGCUAAGAAGUGGGAUGCUGUUAAGCUUGAAGAUCUUGAUAUAGACAGGGAUGAGAUCACUGUCGUUAACUGUCUGUACAGAGCUGAGAAUUUGCAUGACGAGUCGGUCAAAGUAGAGAGCUGUAGAGACGCUGUUCUCAGUUUGAUAGGGAAGAUCAAUCCCGAUCUUUUCGUCUUCGGCAUUGUGAAUGGUGCGUACAACGCCCCGUUCUUCGUGACGCGGUUCCGUGAGGCUCUCUUUCAUUUCUCCUCGAUUUUCGACAUGCUUGAGACGAUUGUGCCACGGGAAGACGAAGAGAGGAUGUUCCUUGAGAUGGAGGUCUUUGGGAGAGAGGCGUUGAAUGUGAUUGCUUGUGAAGGUUGGGAGAGAGUGGAGAGGCCUGAGACGUAUAAGCAGUGGCAUGUCAGAGCUAUGAGGUCAGGGUUGGUGCAAGUUCCAUUUGACCAGGAUAUUAUGAAGAAAUCACUGCAUAAGGUCAACAAAUUCUACCACAAGGACUUUGUGAUCGAUCAAGAUAACCGGUGGCUAUUGCAAGGCUGGAAGGGGAGAACCGUCAUGGCUCUUUCUGUUUGGAAACCAGAGUCCAAGGCUUGACCUUGUGGUAGCAUAAGAGGGACCAUCCCUUUUAUUUUUCUAAAUAUGAAAAGACUAGAGUGCUGCAUCCGAAGAAUCACGUUUUGUUAAUCUCGGGCAAGACUCCUUGAGAUAUAGAAUAAACCUGUUCAGACACACAAAGAACUCAUUCCUCUCAGCGUCUAAUCCUACGACUCCGCUACAAGACAGAUAUGAAAAAACACUAAAUUGAGGAUCAGAACCAAGUGGUUACUUGAGUGAAAAGCACCUUGAAGCCCCUUUGUUGGAGUGCCUGUUCCUUCGGGCUUUGAGGCCAGGUCAUCAAAGUGCUUUUAGUUUUGCCUCCUGACUGCAACGCCUGUUCGAAUAGGACACCGUAUAUUAGGAGAAAAGAUUAAUGGAUGAUAUAGUAGAUGGAUCUUUUUUCUUGUCAUAGUGAACACACAUGAAUGCAGACUUCUGCAACAUCAGCCCUUGCGAUUUCUCUUGUUUCUGCCUCAAGAAGCUCGUCACCUUUCCCCACGAGUAGUUCUCGACUGCCACCUUCCUUGUCCUGCAGACCUGAUUCCACCAGGAAUUUUUGUAAGAUGAGAUUCUGUCAUUGCAUUUUUGCAUCGUUUGCAAGUCUUACACUAUAGAAGGAUACGCUAUGAUGGUGUAUAAGACUUUGAUUUAAA